rnacentral:rRNA from 1 species
UUAUGGAGAGUUUGAUCCUGGCUCAGGAUGAACGCUGGCGGCGUGCCUAAUACAUGCAAGUCGAGCGAACGGACGAGAGUGCUUGCACUCUCUGAUGUUAGCGGCGGACGGGUGAGUAACACGUGGGUAACCUACCUAUAAGACUGGGAUAACUUCGGGAAACCGGAGCUAAUACCGGAUAAUAUUUUGAACCGCAUGGUUCAAAAGUGAAAGACGGUCUUGCUGUCACUUAUAGAUGGAUCCGCGCUGCAUUAGCU